UCUUCAGUAGUAUAGUGGUCAGUAUUUCCGCUUGUCAUACCACCAUCUGGCAAACCGCGGGAGGCCGGGGUUCGAUUCCCCGCUGGAGAG